AUGUGCUCCCAGUGCCGCAAGGUCUCCCCGGCUCCCUCCGCUCUCCCAGCCCUGCUCCAGGAGCUGCCCUGGAGGAGCCGAGGUGGAUCCCUGGGAUCCAAGAAGCCUCUGGUAUUCCCAGGAAGAGGCCCCAGGGGACCCAGAGAAUUCCCGAGUCUCCGUUUGGGGCUGGAAUGCCCGGAUGAAUCCCAGGAGAGAUCCAGCGUGAUCCGUAACUCCCCACCAGAGCGUCCAGCCCCGGAGCCAAGGUGCUCCAGAGCUUCCAGCACCAUCCCUCGCUCCAGACCCAGGACACCACCUGGAGCCCGAUGGAGUCAAAUCCAUUUAAAUCCCUUUAAAAUCCCGUUUUCCCGGGAUCAGGAACCGCCGAGAUCCAACUCCUCCCGCUCACCUGGGCACGCUCCCGCUGCCCGAGCCCCCCCGAAUCCCAGGAUCCCGCGGGAAACCCACGGCGCCGGCUCCUCAUCCGGAGCCAUCCGGCCGCAAUCCCGCUCCAGGGGCUUCCCGGAGCCCGGCACCAGGCGGCUCCAAUUCCAUCUGGGCUCGGCACAUCCCGACGGCGGCGUCAUAAAACGCGUUCCGGCACGGAACACAAAAUGGCUGGCUCCCAGGGCCAGCGUUCCCGAGGAACGCCAGGAAAAGGAUAACAACCUAAAAAGAUCCAACGUGGGGAAACCUGACCCUGCUCCAACACACCGGUCCCAGACCCUGGAUGUCCUGGAUUCCAGAUCUCUCAGAUUCCAGAUCUCCCAGACCCCGGAUCUCCCUGACCCCGGAUCUCCCUGACCCCGGAUCUCCCAGAUCCCGGAUCUCCCAGAUUCCAGAUCUCCCAGACCCCAGAUCUCUCAGAUUCCAGAUCUCCCAGACCCCGGAUCUCCCGGAUUCCGGAUCACCACCACCAGCCUGGGACAUCCCCGGAUUCUGCAGCUCCGGGUCAAGUACAAAACUAACGAUGGGAAGCGGGAAAAGCGGGAAAGGAGGAAAAUCUUCCCUCCCAAAAAGUGCUUCCCUUCCCUCCUGAGGUUGUGUUUUAUCCAACUCCAUCUCUCGGGAACUGGGAAUGCCGCUGCCGUGUCCGGCACACCGGCCUCACACCUCAUCCCACCCCGGGGGUUUUGGGAUGCGGGAGGAGAGCAGGAAUUCCAGCAGGAAUCAUGCCCUGAAAUGGGGGGAAAAGACAGAAAAACUCCACAAAGUCUGGGAGAGAGAUAAAAAUUCCAGAGGGUCCGGCUGGGACGGGCGGUUCUGGAAAACGCUCCGGGAAAAUCAAAUGCAAUAAAAACCGCUGGGAUGGGAGGUGGGGGGGAGGG
rnacentral:lncRNA from 1 species